AGCGGCAGGCUUAACACAUGCAAGUCGAGGGGCAGCACGGGUAGCAAUACCUGGUGGCGACCGGCGCAAGGGUGCGUAACGCGUGAGCAACAUGCCCUAUACAGGGGGAUAAUCCAGGGAAACUUGGUCUAAUAUCCCAUAGUAUUUAGAGGAGGCAUCUUCUAUAAAUUAAAGCUUCGGUGGUAUAGGAUUGGGCUCGCGUGACAUUAGCUAGAUGGUGAGGUAACGGCUCACCAUGGCAAUGAUGUCUAGGGGUUCUGAGAGGAAGGCCCCCCACACUGGGACUGAGACACGGCCCAGACUCCUACGGGAGGCAGCAGUGAGGAAUAUUGGACAAUGGAUGGAAAUCUGAUCCAGCCAUGCCGCGUGCAGGAAGACAGCCCUAUGGGUUGUAAACUGCUUUUAUAUGGGAGCAAUAAGGUCUACGUGUAGACUGAUGAGAGUACCAUAUGAAUAAGCAUCGGCUAACUCCGUG
rnacentral:rRNA from 1 species